UUUAUAUUAUUACUGUAUUGUCAGUGAUUUUAUCGAUUAUUAACUUUUAAAAUUUAGUUUUUCAAAAACCCUUGUAAAUUCUCUCCAUAUCUUUUAAACAUUUCAUUUUGAAGCGAAUCUUGCAGGAUGAGAGAAGUUGUAGCAAAGUUAGUUCAAACGCAGUAGAUAACUUCAUCAAGCAUUUCUCUCCAGUUAUUACAGCUGUUAUUCAAGCGGAAUAAGGCGAAGGAUAAAAAAUGAAAAAAUAAAAAGGACGAACAAAAUUACAUAUAUAAACGAGUAAUUUUCUGGACUGGUUAAAUAGAAUAUUUUUGUUAAAAUUGAUAGACCGUGCAAAGAUUAAUCCCCAAGAUAAAAACUGAAAUAAUUGAACGUUACUCAAUUUUUCAAAGAGAAACAUAACAUUUAACAAGAUAAGUACAAAAUAAGAGAUUGUUUUUAGAUGCAGAAACAUUUCAGGAUUUCUUGUAAACCGAAAAAUCGAUAGAACGGAUAAUUCAAGGUAAUAAAGCAUUCUGGAGCCUUCGGAGAAUACAUGACUGGAAACGACUUACCAAUAAACGUAAAAGAAAAGUUUUCUGAUCAUGUAUACGACCUCAAGGCUAUUCACCCUUCAGAGCAGGCAGAAACGUGGUCAUUGACAAAAAUGAGAUUAGAAACAUGCUACAGAUAUUAUAAAAUGUAUAAGAAAACACGUGAACUGAAUGUUGGAUUAAGGAUCGGACCAAACUUAUUACUGAAUGGAGCGCGAGAGGCGGAAAUAGAAGAGAUUGUCCAUCAAGAAGAUGGAGAGAUAAAAGCUUUUGGUGGCUCAACACUUGGUAGCAGACAUCAAAGAAUCUGACCGAAUAGAGAAAUCUGUAGGUGACUAAUGCUCAGUAGUGACUAAUUAGUUGGAGAUUGACGAUAUGUUAUUCAUAUUCCUAGUGUAUAAAUUAGGGUUUUGAUCAUAGUAAGAUAUAGCAGAAUGUUUUUGAAUUACUUUAAAAAGUCUGUUUGAUUAAUUUUUAGAUUUUUUUUCCUUUCAAUUUAGCUGAAUUAAAUUUUCUUCUAUCUUUUAGAUUGAUUCAAAAAUAGAAAGCUCUUUAUGUUUUAAUCACUAUAGGCUAUGUAGCCUAUCAUUUCCGUUCGAAAUUGUCAGUACUGAAAUAGACAGCUGCCUUUCAGAAAAAACUGCAAAACAGGUGGCAUUAAUUCAAUUGUUGUACUCCUUCAGUUAACUUUUCUUCAUCUAUAAUAAUAUUCUGAAUAUAGUUAAAAUGUAUUUUGCUUCCGAAUUUAUCUUAUACAGCAAUAUAAAAUAUAGCCUAUAUGUAAUCUAUUUCUAGGUUUGAGAUAAAUUCUCGAGCAAAAUAUUUUAAGUUAUUUACUCACAAAUUAGAUACAAAAUUGAGUUUACCAAGUUUCUGUUGGAAUUUUGUCACGAGUAUUUUCUCUCGAUUUAGUCGCAAUUAAAUUUUCUGGCAUCUUCGAGAUAUUCGAUCUUGGAAGUUAUUUUUUAUGACUUUUUAAUCCGUGUAUAUUUAUCAUUCCCGAAUAUAACUAUCUUUACCACAAUU
rnacentral:lncRNA from 1 species